CCUCUCCUUCAUUACCACAUUACAUUUUUGUUGUCACCUCUCCUUCAUAACCACAUUAAAUUUUUGUUGUCACUUCUCCUUCAUUACCACAUUACAUUUUUUUGUCACAUCUCCUUCAUUACCACAUUAAUUUUUUGUUGUCACUUCUCCUUCAUUACCACAUUAAUUUUUUUUGUCACCUCUCCUUCAUUACCACAUUACAUUUUUGUUGUCACCUCUCCUUCAUUACCACAUUAAAUUUUUUUGUCACCUCUCCUUCAUAACCACAUAAAAAAAUUUUGUCACCUCUCCUUCAUAACCACGAGGAGAGUGUAAUGACGUUAUUAGUUUCCUGUUUACAUAUUCUUUCUUCUGCGAGCGAAACUGCGAGGGCUUUUCUGAAGAGCCACUGUUGCUGCGCAACAUCCUGUAGGCUGCUACAUUAAAGUGCCGCAGUAGUCUUCAUUGGUUCACUGUAGUCUUCGGCCACCAAUAGCAGAACGUUUCACACGCCAGCUCCUCCUUUUCUGUCAACACUAAUCAAGCAUAUUAAAAUAUUGUAUGGCACUAUAAGGCGGGAUAUUCGCAGCAGCGUGUCACAUUUAAAAAUACUUUAUCAAAGACAGUGACUGAUGGAACUCAAUAACGGAGGUACCAUACUUGAAUGUCUCUGGAGGCCUCUAAUAAGAGUCUGGAGACUCCUGUACUGCUGUGACACUGAUGACUCUGAAAUAAAACUGUCAGAGGAAGAAACAUAACUAAUUCCCAUAAUCAACGAUGUCCCUAGCUCUGCCCGUCCAUGGUUUUAAAACUGAGAAGAAGAUGAUGGAGUUUAGUAAGGAGCUCCUGUUUUCACUUUCUGGAGCAGCUCUCCUGGAAAAGACCUUCCCAAAAGAUCCAGACCUCUGGUUCAUUCAUUUCACUGGAAAUGGAAAACCGAGUCCAGUAUUGCAUUACAAUAUGUGACCCAGGACAACAAGAC